UUCCGGAGGUUCAGGCUCUUUGUGCCUCCAGCAGAAGGAAUUCAGCGAGAGACAAAGUGAGAAGCAAGGAAUAGAUGUAUUAAGACAGGGUGCUUGGGAGAGAUGCAAGCAGGCAGGCACGGAGGUUCUGCCCUGUGGGGUAGGUGGGCUACAGUUUUAUCAUCCCAGGGCAGAGGGGGUGGGAAAAGACCACCACUUCCUCCUUCUUGAGGAGUAGCUCCUCCUCGGUAUCCAGUAAGAGAGUAUUUGACUCUCUAAAGUCAAACUGGGACUGUCAGGGUGCUUAUUCAAAUCAGCAGAAGGGUGGUCCUUAAACUCCUGCCCCUGGUCUGAACCUGGAUGCGGCUUCACCCCUGCCACACGCACCCUCUGCCAAAUGACCUGAGGCUGCUCUCGCGCCUCCACUAGUCAAGCAAGCCUGUCUUGCCUUGUUCUGAUGGCUUUUCUUGAAACAGUAGAGCCUACCCAGCCUGUCUUGAGUGCUACAAUGUGCUAGGAAAGAUGCUGUGAGCCUCGUAUACCUGAGAGGAUUUUAUCCUCAAACCCUGUUGAAGGAUGAAUCAUUCGCCUCAUUUCACAAAGAAGGAAAUGAGGGCUCAGAGAGGUUAAGUAACUUGUCCAAGGUCACACAGCUGGUAAUCUGUAGAGUCAGAUUUGAAAUCACAUCUGCAGGGCAACAUCAUCUCAGGGCAUUUUAUUUAAAUGGGUGUGUAAUUUGCCUCUGAAAUGACGGCAUUGCUCUUUAGAAGAGCUAACUGCCCUGAGCUAUCUGGAUCCCUCUUGGAUUUUAAGCGCAAGCAUUAGAAAAGAAUUUAAUUUAAUUCUUUGGUUCAUGGCAAUAGUCUUGGCCACAUUUUCUCCCUCUCCAGGAAACAGUUUUUACAAAAUUAGAAUGUUUGCCCUAGAGAUUCUCUUCUGUUUGGCUGACUGCCCCUGGAUGUCUAAGGGGCUCUUUGGGGUGUGAGGGUUGAGGUUGAUGGUCCUUUUGCCUACAGCAUGGUUCAGCAUCCUCAGGCCAAUGACAGACCCUUCUAGACUUUUUUCCCCACCACACUCCAUAUUGGGGCCCAGGUCAGGCUAUAGCCAUUUCCUGGUGUGUGUGUGUGUGUGGAUUGGGGUACCUCCCGAGCAUAGCCCUGGGGUCAUCCAGGCCCUGGGGUCCAGGUUGGAGGUCAUAGCAGCCCCCAAAAGUUCUGAGGAAAGGCAGCCCUUCAGAGGCCCUGGUUCCUUGCUUUAGGGUGGACCUAGGUCUGUGCUGGGGUCUGGAGGUUGGCUUCAGUCUCUGUCUUGCCUCUUACUGCUGAUUAGGGAAUCAUUGACUCCAAUGGCUCAUCUUGGCCAAGCAGGGUAAUAGCCUCCCUGAUAAGGAGCACAGCGUUGCCCUGAAGACUAGCCUGGAACAUUUGGGAGGGGCCAGUAGGAGAAGGAGACGACCACCCUCCCAGGAUCCUUGGCGCUGGAAUCCAUCUUGGUUGAGAGAUACACCUGCCACCAAGAAGGACCCUGAACCAGACCAAGUGUGGGCUGAGCAAGGGGAUCGGCCAGAGACAACCUGGAAACCAACCCCACUCCCAUAAAACUGGAGACUGUGAGCCGCUUGGCAGAGCAGUUCUCCUGGGUACCCUCACCCCACUGCUCUUGGCCCGGGAGCCCCUUCCCAAUAGUCUCUUGCUUUGUCAGCAGGUGGGGCUCCUCAGACGAUUCAUUUCCGAGUGUUAGACAAGCACCCAUGCUUGGGCCCUGGACAGGGUCCCCCUUCCUGCAACGAUACAGCUCAGAGGCUGUGUGUGUCCCUUCUAUAAAGGGCCAUCACAGCUGCCCCCUGCUGCCUGGCCACCUGGAGGAGCAGCACCAGAGGGCCCAGUUCCCAGCCUGGGAGAGAGCCUUCAGCUGCUGUUAUCAUGGGGGGCUGGGACCGUCCCCACCAACCCCACCCCCUCAGCCCAGUUCCCUUUCCUGAGGGCCUCCCGUGUGCCUGCACCUUGCUGGUUCAAAGUGCAAGAUAGCCAAGGAGCUUCUGCUUAAUUAGGAAAAGGCUUCUGCACCAAAGAUGUCCAGAAGAAAGAGCCAGGCCCCUGAGCAGCAGGCCCCCAGCUGCCAGCGCAGCUCGGGGAAGGUGGGCGGCAGGAGCAGGGGACUCUGGGGGGCUUUUAUGUAUUGGAGCCAUCGUUCCGGAGGCAUUCCAUGGAGCUACCAUGGGGCGGCCUGAGGCUUCUUAGAUCCCAGCCAGAGCAUCCCUGCAGUUGGGGUGGGGCACUGAAGGAGCAGGGCUCAGACUGUCACUUGGAGGUGACACCUGAGCUGGCGGGGAGCAUGGAUCUAGUUUUGGAGAGGAACAGCGAACAAUUUGGGGAAAUGCCUCUUGUCCAGUCAGGUCUCCCUUUUCUCUUCCUCGGUCGCUCCCCUGAACUGGGCAUCUGGCUGGCUGAGCUGUGUAGAUGUGUUCCCAGGACGUCAGGGGACGGCUGAUAGCUCAGAGUCCCCUGCCUGAUGGACGGCCGCCCACAUCCCUACUCUCUCCAAGAGGCUGCCUGUCCACCGUCAGCCUCCCUCAAGCCUCAGUCUCAGUGUCCAGACUGAUUGAAGAAAGAGAGAACAGGUCCCCGGAGAGUCUGGGGCCUCAGGCCCCUUGCCUAGGCAAGUGGAGAGUUCCAGAGGGACCCGGGAUUACCCAGCUCCAGGACCCAGUGCUGGGAAUCCGAGAUGCCCACAAGAGGGCGCCCGAGACCGGCAGACGGCAUGGGCUCCCUUUUUCGAAAACCUAGAAGAUGCUUCUGUGAGGGGGUUUGUGAUAGGAAGGGGGGUGCAAUGAAUACAUAUCCAUGCAAACCAUCACUGGGGUCUUGGGAAAACAUGAGGCUAAAACUGUCGUGACUC
rnacentral:lncRNA from 1 species